GACAGAGGUGGCGAGCGUUGUUCGGAUUCACUGGGUUUAAAGAGCACGUAGGCGGUCGGGCAUGUCCGGUGUGAAAGCCCCCGGCUCAACCGGGGAACUGCGCCGGAAACUAUCCGACUCGAGGGCAGGAGAGGAGAGUGGAACUCCUGGUGUAGCGGUGAAAUGCGUAGAUAUCAGGAGGAACGCCGGAGGCGAAAGCGACUCUCUGGACUGUCCCUGACGCUGUGGUGCGAAAGCCAGGGGAG
rnacentral:rRNA from 1 species